rnacentral:rRNA from 1 species
GAACUGAAGAGUUUGAUCAUGGCUCAGAUUGAACGCUGGCGGCAGGCCUAACACAUGCAAGUCGAGCGGUAGAGAGAAGCUUGCUUCUCUUGAGAGCGGCGGACGGGUGAGUAAUGCCUAGGAAUCUGCCUAGUGGUGGGGGAUAACGUUCGGAAACGGACGCUAAUACCGCAUACGUCCUACGGGAGAAAGCGGGGGACCUUCGGGCCUCGCGCCAUUAGAUGAGCCUAGGUCGGAUUAGCUAGUUGGUGAGGUAAAGGCUCACCAAGGCGACGAUCCGUAACUGGUCUGAGAGGAUGAUCAGUCACACUGGAACUGAGACACGGUCCAGACUCCUACGGGAGGCAGCAGUGGGGAAUAUUGGACAAUGGGCGAAAGCCUGAUCCAGCCAUGCCGCGUGUGUGAAGAAGGUCUUCGGAUUGUAAAGCACUUUAAGUUGGGAGGAAGGGUAGUAACUUAAUACGUUGCUACUUUGACGUUACCGACAGAAUAAGCACCGGCUAACUUCGUGCCAGCAGCCGCGGUAAUACGAAGGGUGCAAGCGUUAAUCGGAAUUACUGGGCGUAAAGCGCGCGUAGGUGGUUCGUUAAGUUGGAUGUGAAAGCCCCGGGCUCAACCUGGGAACUGCAUCCAAAACUGGCGAGCUAGAGUACGGUAGAGGGUGGUGGAAUUUCCUGUGUAGCGGUGAAAUGCGUAGAUAUAGGAAGGAACACCAGUGGCGAAGGCGACCAC